rnacentral:rRNA from 1 species
AGCAAGUCGCCGCGGUAAUACGGAGGGUGCAAGCGUUAAUCGGAAUUACUGGGCGUAAAGCGCACGCAGGCGGUCUGACAAGUCAGAUGUGAAAUCCCCGGGCUUAACCUGGGAACUGCAUUUGAAACUGUCAGGCUGGAGUCUUGUAGAGGGGGGUGGAAUUCCAGGUGUAGCGGUGAAAUGCGUAGAGAUCUGGAGGAAUACCGGUGGCGAAGGCGGCCCCCUGGACAAAGACUGACGCUCAGGUGCGAAAGCGUGGGGAGCAAACAGGAUUAGAUACCCCUGUAGUCCCUGUCUCUUAUA